rnacentral:rRNA from 1 species
UAAUCUUAGUGGCGGACGGGUGAGUAACGCGUGGGUAACCUGCCUUACACUGGGGGAUAACACUUAGAAAUAGGUGCUAAUACCGCAUAAGCGCACGAAGCCGCAUGGAUUUGUGUGAAAAACUCCGGUGGUGUAGGAUGGACCCGCGUCUGAUUAGCUUGUUGGCGGGGUAACGGCCCACCAAGGCGACGAUCAGUAGCCGGCCUGAGAGGGUGGACGGCCACAUUGGGACUGAGACACGGCCCAAACUCCUACGGGAGGCAGCAG